ACCCGUCGGCCUCUCUCUCUUCUCCCCUUCACAAAUUCAUUUUCCCCAAAUCAAUGGAACCCUAGCUCGCCUACCUCUCCCUUUCCUCCCGAAGGCCUCUAAAUGGGACACUUUAAAUCGAGGGGAAUCCGGCGUCUGCCGGUCCACCGUCGCCUCCGCCCCUGUCCGAACGGCUCCGUCGGCGUCAUUGAGUCGCCGACGGCUAGUUCUAAUACUCUCUGUCUCCGUCCAGCUCUCUCUCCCUCUCUCGGCAGAAAUCGCCAUUCUCCGACAGAAUGCCCCGGUUGUGCUGUUGUCGAUCGCUAAGGGGGGGGGGGGGUGGCUGCUUUCGCCGUCUUCGGGCUGCCGGAAGUCUAUCCCAGCAGAUUCAUACUCAUGAGAUGAGUUUCCCUAACUUAUGCUUUAUUUAGUUUAUCUAUUAUAUAGAUUGAAACUUUGAGUAAUUAUCUUACUUGUUGGAAGUUGUUUGGUUGCUUAUUGGAAUGAGUUUCAUCAAGUGAUACUUGGCUGUAAGUGUUGAGCUUUAAACUAUUGAAGCUUGCUACUGUUAGGCUAUUGGUUUUUGGUGUUGUGAGUACUACCCAAGUUGCUGAGUUUGAGUGGAAAGGCAGCCACGUUUUGUUUCUUUGGUUACAUUAUGUAAUAUAGCUCUAAACCUCCUUAUACUUGUUCCUUUCUACUGGUUUACUUGGGAUUUACGAUUUAGCAUGCUAGAUGAGGUCCCUAAGUUGUGGUGCUCCUAUAUGUGUGAAAGGAAGUCAUAAGGGAAAUGGUGGGAGUGUUGAUUAGCUGUUGAGAUUGAGGCUGUGAGGGUUGAAGAACCGCUUGCUAAGCAAAAGAAUGGCUCACUGAUCUGCUACGUUGUUGAAUUCCUUUGAUGGUAUGUGGAGGGAAUUUGAUAAGUAUGAAGGGGCUGCCUAUAUAGAGGAGAGUGUGUACUCGUGAGGUUCUGAUUGGCCUGCUUUGUUCUUGUUUUAUCCUGCUGUACUUUAACUGUAUUUGGCUCCUUAUGGAUGCUUAGUACUUUAGUUCAUAAAUGGAAUUCGUUUGUUGUGGCAAGUGCCCAAGAAUGGGCAGAGACUGUUUGACUGAGGUCCACCGGCUGUUGCAGUUGAAGGGGCUGCCCUGUUUGUCUCGUGGCAGCCUUUGCUUAGGCUGGGGAGUGCAGGAGUUGCAGCCCUCCAUCCUCCCUAUUUUGGCAAUUUUUUGGUCUUCAACAAAAAAGCUCAAUUUUCUAGGGAUGGAGGAGUAGUUGGCUGGAAACGGCCUCUCGCGUCACGGUUCGUUGCUCUUGGCCCGAAGGCCGAUCGAAGACUAGGUUGUGGUGCGAUGUGCCUUGGCUCGGGAAGACUCGAGCAUUAGCACUUAAUAUUCCUUGUGUUGUCUUCCUUCCUUUUCAUUAUUGUACAUUUAUAAACUAGGACAUAGUUCGGGUUGUAAAACGUUGUAUUUUAUUCGCUUAAGUAAUAAACAGACACAUUUCUAUUCGCUUAAGUAAUAAAUAGACACAUUUCCUUUUA